rnacentral:hammerhead_ribozyme from 1 species
GCGCUGCUGAAGAGUCCCACAAUAGGACGGAACGGCCGUUCAGUGC